GACGAACGCUGGCGGCGUGCCUAACACAUGCAAGUCGAGCGGAGAUAAGCGGAUGGUAACUGAAGUUUGUCUUAGCGGCGGACGGGUGAGUAACACGUGGGCAACCUGCCUUGGAGUGGGGGAUAACACCGGGAAAUCGGUGCUAAUACCGCAUAACAUACACAUACUGCAUGGUGAGUGUAUCAAAGGAGCAAUCCGCUUUAAGAUGGGCCCGCGGCUGAUUAGCUAGUUGGUAAGGUAACGGCUUACCAAGGCGACGAUCAGUAGCCGACCUGAGAGGGUGACCGGCCACACUGGAACUGAGACACGGUCCAGACUCCUACGGGAGGCAGCAGUGGGGAAUAUUGCGCAAUGGGGGAAACCCGUGACGCAGCAACGCCGCGUGGAGGAAGAAGGUCUUCGGAUUGUAAACUCCUGUCUUCUGGGACGAAGUAUGACGGUACCAGAGGAGGAAGCCACGGCUAACUACGUG
rnacentral:rRNA from 1 species